rnacentral:rRNA from 1 species
UACGUAGGGCGCAAGCGUUAUCCGGAAUUAUUGGGCGUAAAGAGCUCGUAGGCGGUUUGUCGCGUCUGCCGUGAAAGUCCGGGGCUUAACUCCGGAUCUGCGGUGGGUACGGGCAGACUUGAGUGAUGUAGGGGAGACUGGAAUUCCUGGUGUAGCGGUGAAAUGCGCAGAUAUCAGGAGGAACACCGAUGGCGAAGGCAGGUCUCUGGGCAUUAACUGAUGCUGAGGAGCGAAAGCAUGGGGAGCGAACAGG